GCACUGGUGGGGUAACGGUAACCUUGUUCAUUCCCAUAUCUAUGUGAUGAGCAGCCCUGGGUUCGACUCCCAGUCAGCGCA